GCCAACUCCAAGGAUGAUCUAGGCCUGGGAGGGAGCUGAGAUGGUCAGUCCACCAGCUGCCCUGAGCCCACACCACCCGGGCUCGUUCUCCAGCACUACCCAGCUAGCUCACCCACUACUGCAGCCAGCAAGGGGCAGGGGCAGCUCUCUUGCUCCCCUGUUCCUGGGCUAGCUCAUCUGCAUCUUCGACACUAGGAUCAGCCCUACUGUGCUGCCCAGACAAAGUGCAUACCUCCUCUCUCAAGUGCUGUAGCCAGUCUGAGCCGUACAAGAGCCUAUUUGGGAAAACAAAGAAACAAACAAACCCACCAGACUGGAGAGAUGGCUCUCUCAGAGGACCAGAGUUCAUUUCCCAGCAACCAAUGUGCAUCAGUUGACAACUCCUGCAUCUCCAGUUCCAGGGGACCAACAUCAUCUGCUGGCCUCCUUGGAUAUCUGCAGCCACAUGUACAUACCCACAAACACAUAAACUUAAUCAAAAAUAAACUUGUCUCUCUCUCUUUUCUUAAAGGAACACAAAUGAGAGUAUUAACAAUAGUUGCUAUGUCUAGGACUGUUGUGAGGUUCAACAGCCCUGUGUAGUAGUCUUUCCUCACUGUCUGCUGCUGUUACUGUUCUUAUUUGGCUCUCCUGAGGUUUCCAGUCCUCCUGUAUAAAAUCAGACAUUUGGGAGAGAUAACCUACAGAGAAGUGGGUGUGGUCUUCUCUUUUGGCCAGGUAAUAAUGGAUGUCCAGAAUCAGUACUGUCACACAAGAAGGGAGCAGCUGGUGAACACUUGGAGCUCUGGUUGGAAGCACGUUUCUGCUGAGCUCCUUUUUGUCCAGGACUACAAGCUAGAACUUCUUAUGCCGGAACUUUUUCUGGGUGAUAGUAACAGUGAAUUUCAUUGUCUCUUGGCGGCAUCUAGACUCACCUUGUGUCCUGUUUCGUCUUAAUUGUCUUCACUCAGUCUAGAGUCACUGGAGAGCAAAGCGUUGAUUGAGAAUUGCAGAGAGAUUAGAUACAAUGUUACCAUCUGCCUCCACGCCCCACCACACCUCCGUGGUGAUGGACUGGCUGUAUCCUCAUGUCAUCUGUUUUUCCGACACGGAUAUUGUAUUUGAGCGGUGCGAAUAGUGUGAAUGGUGUGCCAAGGUGGUGGCUAACACUUAGAAAUGGCCAUGGCUGGGAGCGGAGUAUCAGUCUUACCACAGAAACCCACGAACACUGCAAGCAUCAGUCCUUCCAUUUCCCCAGGCUGCUGGUUUAAUGUUCGCUAUCACACCAUUAGCUAAGAUGGCGCAUGCCAUCCCUGCGAGUCUCUGAAGAAAACCUCCCUUUGCUCGACAACAGAGAAACGCACACUCAUCAUCUCAGCGUUUCAGUCAGUGCGACUGACCCACAGCCUACGACGGCAGCCGCGGACUCGGCCCUCUGCUCUGGUUCCUUCACCAAAAAUAAAAUAAGUGACUCCAAGUGCUUGGCCGGUAGCCAAGGACCUCUCAGGUUCAAUUCUUCAUCUUCUGCUUUCGAGAGUUAAUUACAGAGAGGGGGCAUGCUAAGCAAGAGCUCUUUGUGUUCACAGUGAAAUAAUGACUUAGUCCCCCCUGAGACUACAGAGGCUCUGGACUUCAGCUCUGCACAGCAAGCACAAAUCCCAACCUGAUAGCAUGUGACUUUCUUUUUCAAAUGAAUCAGACUUUAUGAAUAGACAGCGUCUUUUCCUCCCCUCACCCUCUAGCCCGACCGUACCGAUUAGCGUAUUUUCUGCUUUUCUAGUUGAGUUGACUCACCAGACCCUUUAAGAGCCUGCUAGCUUGUGUGCUUCCUCCUGACAGGAUGCGCGGUUCCCUGUCUGCACACUUGCUGAUUGUAUAGCAUACCUUUGCCACUGUUGUUUUUUGUUAUUGUUGCUGUUGUUGUUUUGAUUCAAUAAAGUUUUAUUUUCCCAAAUGCA